GGGGAAUAUUGCACAAUGGAGGAAACUCUGAUGCAGCGACGCCGCGUGAGUGAAGAAGUAAUUCGUUAUGUAAAGCCCUAUCAGCAGGGAAGAUAGUGACGGUACCUGUCUAAGAAGCUCCGGCUAAAUACGUGCCAGCAGCCGCGGUAAUACGUAUGGAGCAAGCGUUAUCCGGAUUUACUGGGUGUAAAGGGAGUGUAGGUGGCAUCACAAGUCAGAAGUGAAAGCCCGGGGCUCAACCCCGGGACUGCUUUUGAAACUGUGGAGCUGGAGUGCAGGAGAGGCAAGUGGAAUUCCUAGUGUAGCGGUGAAAUGCGUAGAUAUUAGGAGGAACACCAGUGGCGAAGGCGGCUUGCUGGACUGUAACUGACACUGAGGCUCGAAAGCGUGGGGAGCAAAC
rnacentral:rRNA from 1 species